AACGCAGCCGCACCAGAUCCGGUGCCUUCUUGCUUUCCUUGCACUUCCCCUUCUUCUUUAAUUACGAACCACUACGGACUUCCCAGCUUCGUAUUCUUAGUAGUUCGUCUAAUAGAUCUUCCAUCGGUGCACGAUGACUCCUCCCGCACUCGCGAGUCCACUCCGAAACAGACGCCACUGGCUGCGCACAGCCACCGGUGGGUGCUUAUUCCUUCCGCCUUCCGCCGCACGGCUCCUUCCGCAUGCCGUCGCUCGGCCGAUUCGAGAUGCAGAGACGUGAAGGACCAUGAACACAAGAGCGCAGAUGGCCAUGAAGAGCUUGAAGCAGCAUCGUCGCAAUCAGAAUGGUGGCCGACACAAGUUCAACCUUAACAGAUCUUGGACCAUGGCCAAGAUUGCUGCAUCAUAUGCUGGUCCAUCGCCGUGCCCGCUCGCGCCGGACCUGCAUCUGGACGAGCUACAUCCUGGAUCUGAGGUUGGGCAACCUCGGCGGGUGGUUCCUGGUUCAGGUACUGCGCGUACCCCUCCUUCCACUCAUAGAAUCUGCACUUCCCCAUUGGCGUGGUGAACAACAGUCAGGCGUUCCCCCGUUUGUACUUCCGUUGAUCCGGCCGGCCUCUGCUUUCUUCUCCAUCAACGCUGUCGUCCCAGCUUCUACCAACACAGGUUUUCCAUUAGCACGCCAUCAAUCGUUGCCUUGCUGGUGAGGCCUCCUUUCUCUAUGGGGUCGCGGUGAGCGGACACACAAGUACGCAUGGACGUCUGAAGCACAUAUCUAUGGAGUGAUGGUGAAGCGGGUCGAUGUGCUAGAUACAAUCUGUCCAUCUUCACUGGCCGUAGCACUCCUCCUGCCACGUUCAUCAGAUGAUCUGUCCACAAACGCGGAAUUGUCUCCAACAGUAGAGUCACCGACACCCCAUAUGUACUUCUGGUUAUGUUUCCAAAAAUGUCAUUUCGUCUCCAACAAUCAGUUCCCCCAAUGUAAUGCCCGUCAGACGAUCUGUCCAGAAACGCUGAUUCCUCGCCAACAUACUGUAAUUUUUGUUUUACAUUUCCCAUGUUUUCUUAGAUCUAUUCCUUUCUUUCAUUGCAGGAAGCGGUCAACGUUUUUUCAUCCACUAUUGUUUGGAAUAUCGAAGAAUACUGAUUUUCUUUUGCAACAAACUACAUGGUGCAGGAUGUACUACUGGUUUCUCUUCUUGAAAUUGGAUGAUAAAUAAUGCCUGAGCCAAUCCUGUAGACCAUGUUGAUCAGCCAUCCCAAUUUCGUUCUCAGGAAGCCAAUCUCUACAGAUGCAGACGAGUUAAAUUACCAUGUAUGUUCUCUUACAUUUUCAUCUAAUGGCCUGAUGCCAUAUGGAGCCAGAGCAUAGAAUUUAUUUUCUUCUGUUUGAUCAUUGAAUGCUUAUGAUAAGAUUGGGUUGUUUGAAGACAUGCAUGUUUUUCUCUUGCAAAUAGUUUGUACACAUGCUUUAUAAUUGUAUGAACAUACUAAUGUGUACUAAUUUUUUUUUGGGAAAAGAGGGAUAAUCUACUCAGCCAUGAAAGAAUUAAUUACGACUGAUAUUUAUAUUACGAAUUUCCAUUUCUUGCAGAAUUUCUAAUUUUAGCUAUUGAAUGAGAUGCAUAUGCCUGAGCCUGCCCUCCGAGUUGGCCUCCAGCGUUUUGCAUAGCUCAACAGAAUCCACCUCUAGGAAGAUGGCGAAUUGGGAAUGGUAUUUCUUUCGUGGAUUAUGUCCUAUGGGCUAGCUGGAGCUAGCUAAUACUGGGAUUUCUCAAAUUAAUAUCAGGGUGCAGGAUCUGUUGUACGAGUCAUGCAACCCAACCGAAGAAAUAGAUAAUAACUAUAUUCAAUUGUCGAGUGAGAGUUUCUUCCUAAGUUUUGCGAAAAUGUAAAUAUUUAACUGGUGUUGGUCUUAGUUAUGUUCUUGGCCAAUGCAAUAUUUAACAGUCCCCAUUCAGAGAACUAUUCUAUUUUACAUUACAAAAUAAUUGUGUUUCGUGGACAAGCAUGGAUGCAGUCUGGCAUCCCGUAGGUUCGACAACAUUUUUACUUUGUCAAGUUUCCUAAGAAUUUUAGUGACUCACUUUAAUUAACAGUUUUUAAUCCCCAUAGAGGUCUAUGUCUGCUAGCAUAUUAACUUUAAAAUUGCUAUGUGACAGACCUUAAUUAACCUUUUUUUUAUCUCAAUAUAUGUCUAUGUCUGCUAGCAUAUUAAACUGAAAACUGCUAUAUAUUUGCAUUAUUAUUCGUUGGCACAAUCUUUUGUAGAUGAAUUUAGAGAAAAAGUUAACUCCUUGCUUAACUGGUGUUGGUCUUAGUUAAGUUCUUGACCAAUGUAAUAUUUAACAGUCCCCAUUAAGAGAGCUAUUCUAUUUUACAUUACAAAACAAUUGUGUUUCAUGGACAAGCAUGAAUGCAGUCUGGCAUCCAGUAGGUG
rnacentral:lncRNA from 1 species